rnacentral:ribozyme from 1 species
CAGGAAUUAAAGGAUGAAAUAAAAGAAGAUAAAAAACAGGAGGAUAACAAUAAGGGGGCUUCUCUGUUAGUGAGAGUGUUUUUCCAUAUUGUUUCCAGUUCGUUUU